rnacentral:rRNA from 1 species
GCGAAGCUCUUGAUCGAAGCCCGAGUAAACGGCGGCCGUAACUAUAACGGUCCUAAGGUAGCGAAAUUCCUUGUCGGUUAAAUACCGACCUGCAUGAAUGGCGUAACGAGAUGGGAGCUGUCUCAAAGAGGGAUCCAGUGAAAUUGUAGUGGAGGUGAAAAUUCCUCCUACCCGCGGCAAGACGGAAAGACCCCGUGGACCUUUACUACAGCUUGACACUGCUAUUUGGAUAAGAAUGUGCAGGAUAGGUGGGAGGCUUUGAGUAUAUGACGCCAGUUGUAUAUGAGCCGUUGUUGAGAUACCACUCUUUCUUAUUUGGGUAGCUAACCAGCUUGAGUUAUCCUCAAGUGGGACAAUGUCUGGUGGGUAGUUUGACUGGGGCGGUCGCCUCCCAAAUAAUAACGGAGGCU